UAGAUCUCCUUUCAUAUCUUAGCUGGGUACUAAGUCUGCUUGGAAAUGAUAAUUCUAAGUAUGCAGGCCUUAAUUGUCUGACUAUUUUGUUGUUUCUGCACUAGAGUGUGAAUUUGUGUCUGUACUGUAAUUUGCAAACUAGACUUGAUCCAUUAGCUCACUUGGUUAGAUUAAGAUAAUUAAUCAUGCACCUGCCUGCAAUUCUAUAAUUUCAGUGGAUAAUUCAUUUUUUUCAAGGUUUUUCUUGAACAGGAAAUUAAUUCACAAUCUUAAAUUUGCUGAAUUUGCUUGUGGUUUCGAUUUUGGAAUAUUAAAGCUUAAUCCAGAAG
rnacentral:misc_RNA from 1 species